rnacentral:lncRNA from 1 species
AUGGUUUUUAUAAUGACGGUCACGUUGCCCCUUCCUUUGCCUCCUCUGAAUGAGGAACAGAGAUUGUCCCAAGCUCUGAGCUCUGCAGAGCUCAGAUCUAAACCUGGAAUCGUGCAGCCCCUUCCAGCUGCAGCCUUGCAGCCUCCUGCUCACUAUCAUGGCAGAAGAACACUUCCUGAAGAUGGAGUACCUAAACAUUCAGUGCAGCAUGGACCUUUGAGGAAUGCUGCUGGCUAUGAGAAAAAUAGUCUGAAAGCCAGAAGUGACCAAAGCAAAGGCUUUGCCUCCAAGAGAAGGACGGCUGGCUCCAUCCGGCCAUCGAGCCAUCAUCAUUAUCCUCAGCUGCCAGACUUUACAGUCAACAGCACAGAGCUGAAGCAUAGCAUUAAACCAAGCAGCCACAGUGAUGUGGUGAAGCAACCCACGGCACACACACACAUUUAUCCUGAAAGGAUAAGAGCACACAACCCAGACAGAGGAGCUGCGCAUGCCCAGAAAGGCAGACACACAAACAGGAAUGCCGACACACAACUGAGCAGCAGCCUCGCGAGGGUAAAGCUACAACAGCAGCAGCUCUUGCAGAAACCCACACAAGCUCCAAAAGCCUCUGGGAAGCUUGAUGGUGUGGAUAAGGAGCAGCUUCCGGGGAAAAGGCUCACCCGCGAGCACAAACAGCUACUUAAUGUCUCAGGAAAUCUUCCUAAAGCAAAGUGGAAUCCUGGACCAUCAGAGCAUGGAGAGGCUUUGUCCCAACCUGUGAAGCCCAAUCACAAGCAUGUGUGCGAGAGCUUCAGAGGGCAGGACUUCCCAGACAGCGAUGACAGGAAGAUCAGAGUCUGCCCACAGCAGCCUCCUUCAUGGUUCAGCAACGACGAUAUUGAAAAGAUGGAGCUGCUGUCUGGGGGUGACGUCAUCAGUAAGGCCCGGGUGCCUGCACAUGGACAGGUGCUCCAGGUGGCCUUGAAUUCUCCUGCGCAGCGCCAGGUAAGCUGCUGGACUGUUCACAGGAAAAUGUGGCAUUGCAGCUGA